rnacentral:rRNA from 1 species
ACAGAGGGUGCAAACGUUGUUCGGAAUUACUGGGCAUAAAGAGCACGUAGGUGGUCCGCUGAGUCACGUGUGAAAUCCCCCGGCUCAACCGGGGAAUUGCGCGCGAUACUGGCGGGCUCGAGGUGGGUAGGGGUGAGCGGAACUCCAGGUGGAGCGGGGAAAUGCGUAGAUAUCUGGAGGAACACCGGUGGCGAAAGCGGCUCACUGGACCCAAUCUGACACUGAGGUGCGAAAGCUAGGGUGGCAAACGGGA